UGAGGAAUAUUGGUCAAUGGGCGUAAGCCUGAACCAGCCAAGUCGCGUGAGGGAAGACGGUCCUACGGAUUGUAAACCUCUUUUGCCGGGGAGCAACGGGGUCCUUGCGAGGGCCUUAUGAGAGUACCCGGAGAAAAAGCAUCGGCUAACUCCGUCGCC
rnacentral:rRNA from 1 species